GGGUAGUGUCGGAAGGCAAUGUCCUGAAGAGGACUCUGUGGUCUGGGAGCGAUGCGGGUCUAGAGUGAGAACAUGGAGCGAAGACGGGUGAGAUACCGCUAGAAGGGGACACCUUUUGGAGGAAGAACUAAUUCCCUGGAGCAACCAGCAGGAGGCGCCACAGCGGUGAGUCCCACCCCGUGACUGAGGCGAUUACAAGUUUGGUUGAUAAAGGUAAUUGCCUAGAUGUGAUACAGACUUCUACCCGGUGCUUGGCUUAGUACCGCCCAACAUCUGAUUGCAAAUUUAGCACUGUACAAUAGAACUCUGAAGCAUUAUGAGCACCAGAAUUACAAAUUGACAAGUCGACCGCAAGUGUCAUUUGGAACCACACUUGGGCUGUGUAGUGGGGUGGAGACCUCCCCCACUACUGAAGGGGAGAAAAUACCCCUCUGGAAGCCAUUUUGGGUGCAGUAUAGCCCCGCCCAGUCACCUGACCGGAAGGCAAGGGGCAGGGCUAGGACUAUAAAAAGCCUGGCUGAGAGCUUAGUCAGGGCCCAGCCUCUGAGGGAGACAGAGGCCUGCCCACAGGUGCCUUCCACAGGGCGAGGGAAGACGGCUCUGCCAGGGCUGCUGAGGCCUGGCCAAGCCAGCCAGCAGAGGUACCCGGGGCUCUGCUGGUGCCUGGUGAACUUGAGGACCUGCCUGAGGCAGAGGUCCUGCUUAAGUCCCGAGGCCUGUGGACACCCAGACACCCUAAGGUCCUGCCCGAGCCAGAGGACCUACAGACUGACGGGGACCCUGAGAGCUUGCCAGAGCUGGUGGACCGGCUUGAACCCCGAUGGCUGCCAGAACCCCGGGGCCUGACGAGCCCGCUGGACGCUGCAGAGCUCCAACCCACUGAAGCCUGGAUUGGGCCGCCCGGACCCUGCUGGGACGACACUGACCUCGGCUCCCUAGCGUGCUGGAGAAACAGACACCAGGCUCAAAGCCCACCGUUGGGGGAAGCCGGGGAGCGGAGAUGAAAACAUCUCCGGCCACAGGGUUUCAGGAGGCUGAUACCUCUCUUCAGCCUGCGGAAGCACCGAGGCGUGUGAGACGGCGGCUGCUUGACCUGAGGAGCCAGAGAGAGUGUUUGGAGAUAAAGCUGAGACACAGAGGCCCAGUGGUGCAUCACCGGCCUCUGUCAGCCACUCUCCUCAGGCCUGACAAACUCACUGCUAAGGAAGGUACUGCUGCCUGGCCCCGCCACAGCUGUGGGGCCUGCCAUGGUCACAUCCCACUGCCCACCCAUCAGCCUCACCACUGCUAUGGCUGCUCUGGUCUGGCGUGUCUGACCACCACUGGAGUUAAUUAGCAAGGACCGGUUAACUGGUAAGCUUCAUGCUUAGGUAAGCAGGCACUGAACUCAUACCAUGUUGCUUUCCUCUAGUACUCUCCUGCUCAUGUAGUUCUUGU